GGUCUCUGCUGCUGGAUGUUUUUGGAGGAGCCUUCCUGCUACAGCUUGCGGUCCCCCAGUGUCCAUUGUUGGCGAGAUCUGCCUAUUUGUAACCUCCCCCCAAAAAACAAAGAAAUAGAGUACAGAUGAAAUGAAAGGGUCCAAAGAAGCUCAGCUAAACUUAUAAAGAAAGGAAAUGUGCAUUUCUGUAAAGAAUAGGCUCCAGAAUAUUACAUAUACAAAGGCAAGGACAGCACUUCUCUAAAGCUGAAGGUCAAAACAAAUUUCUACGGAGAACUGCGCCCACAUAUCUGCAAGUAGGAAAGCAAGGAUAGUGUUGCCCCAAACUUUCCAACUGAAAUUGCGCUUGUGUUUGCAGGUCGCGUCUUUAGGUGCACCCAUACAUGCAGGAUCAAACUACAAGUUUCUACGGAGAACCGUGCCCACAGAUUUGCAUGUAGGAAAGGAAGGAUGGCACCACUGAAUAGCUGCAGGUCAAACAACAAUAUUCUACGGAGAACUGCACCCACAAAUCUGCAUGCAGGAAAGAAAGGAUGGCGCCACUGACUAGCUGCAGACCUCUAACACCCGUUGUGGAUGAAAGUAGAUGAGCGGAGGCCACAACUCCCGGAUAGUGACUGGAACUGCACACCAUGUAUGAUAUUGGGACUUAGUAGACAUUUCUACAUUUUUUCACUUUAUUUAAAUGUCAUAUUUUGGGUUUGUGUUUUUUAUCUAUAUGGUAUAAUUCUGUGGGGUUGAUUUACACGUUUAUAUUAAUGGGCCAAGUAAUUUUUACCACUGGGGGCAUAUGAGUAUCACGCUAGUUAUAUUAAUUAAAUCCACAUAGUUGUAUGGUGUCGAAUUCUAUAGAAGAAGAGUAAAGAUUUUUUUGACACCUAAAUUAGGGUGAUAAAAUGAUAUAGGGAAUCCAUGAUAUGAAUUUGUUGCACUG